rnacentral:rRNA from 1 species
CCUACGGGAGGCAGCAGUGAGGAAUAUUGGUCAAUGGGCGUAAGCCUGAACCAGCCAAGUCGCGUGAGGGAUGAAGGUUCUAUGGAUCGUAAACCUCUUUUAUAAGGGAAUAAAGUGCGGGACGUGUCCCGUUUUGUAUGUACCUUAUGAAUAAGGAUCGGCUAACUCCGUGCCAGCAGCCGCGGUAAUACGGAGGAUCCGAGCGUUAUCCGGAUUUAUUGGGUUUAAAGGGUGCGUAGGCGGCCUUUUAAGUCAGCGGUGAAAGUCUGUGGCUCAACCAUAGAAUUGCCGUUGAAACUUGGAGGCUUGAGUAUGUUUGAGGCAGGCGGAAUGCGUGGUGUAGCGGUGAAAUGCGUAGAUAUCACGCAGAACACCGAUUACGAAGGCAGCCUGCUAAGCCAUGACUGACGCUGAUGCACGAAAGCGUGGGGAUCAAACAGGAUUAGAUACCCGAGUAGUC